GGCCCGGAAGCACAACUGGACGUGCGCUCCGCUACGAACGGAAAGGUUGUGGGUUCGAGUCCCACGCGGGCCUCCA
rnacentral:tRNA from 1 species